CCUGCGCCCCUCACCAUGAUCGCGGUCCCUCCGCGCCGCUCCUCACACGCCGGCACCUCCCAGCACUGCUGCCUCCCAUUGGCCGAGAGCCGGCGGACCAAUGGGAGCGCGCGGUGCUGCCGGAGAGGGGAGGAAACACUAUGCCCUCACUCAAGAUGGCGGCCGGGUAGGCGUCACUCCGCUGCGCUGCCGGCCCUCAGGCAGGCCCCGCCCACCGGGCUGCCACGCGUGCUGAUUGGUCGAAAGGUGCCGGGGUGGGCUGCGAUUGGACAAGGCGGGGCCGGGCCUGAGACCGCGCUGAGGGCGGCGAUGGACGGGUCGCUGUCGCUGUCCCUGGACGCGGCCGCGCUGGAGGUGAUGGAGGCGCUGGAGCUGCUGCAGCAGCGGCGGGAGCAGCUGGAGCAGCACCUGCGGCAGGGGUGGCUGUCCCUGGCUCAGGCCCGUUACUCCCUGGGCUGUCACCGCGUCUCGUCCCUGCAGUACGGGGCCACCAUGGUGCCCCGAGUCCGUGUGUGCCACAGGCAGGACCCGGAGGGACGCCCCCACUUUGAGGAGGUGCCUGGAACAGGGGGAGACCCCGAGGACCCCGACCCCCAGGAGGGGGGGGGUGACGGGCUGCGGCAGCGUCGGGGAGCCCCUGAAAAAGGGGGGACCCCCAGCCGGCCCCCCCCGGACCCCCUGGGCUGGUUUGGGGUCCUGGUGCCCCCCAGUCUGCGGCAGGCCCAGGGCAGCUUCCAGAGGGGGGUGACGCUGGCCGUGGAGGUGGCCGAGCUCCAGGCCACCAUGGAAGCUGCGGCCGCCCGGUACCGGCAACUCCUGCGGCAGAAACGUCACCUGGCCGGGGACAGCGGGGACAGCAGGGACAGCCAGAGCCCCACCGGAACCCCUGGGGACAGCAAGGACACCGAGCGUGACACAGUGACCUCAGUGACUGCGUGAACGAACACCGAGGACACGUCUGCAGGUGACACACGGGAGCACAGGUGACACUGUGAGCCACGGGGACAUAGGUGACAUGGGGCUGUGCUGACCCUUCACAGGUGACACAGAGGACAGCAGCACCUGCCUGUGGGUGACACCUGUCCCCAAGGGUGACACUGAGGACUUUGCAGGUGACACCGAGCCCCGCACAGGACUGAGGGGGGUCCCCCCAUGUCCCAGUCCCCAAUAAAGCCACCCUGCUGCCA